rnacentral:rRNA from 1 species
GACAGAGGGGGCAAGCGUUGCUCGGAAUUACUGGGCGUAAAGGGCGCGUAGGCGGGAUGGCAAGUCGGUCGUGAAAUCCCUCGGCUCAACUGAGGGUCGUCGAUCGAUACUGCCGUGCUUGAGGAUUGCAGAGGAGACUGGAAUUCCCGGUGUAGCGGUGAAAUGUGUAGAGAUCGGGAGGAACACCGGUGGCGAAGGCGGGUCUCUGGGCAAUACCUGACGCUGAGGCGCGAAAGCGUGGGGAGCAAACGGG